rnacentral:rRNA from 1 species
ACUAGAUCUAGCCCACACUCCCCCCCCNNNNNNNNNNNCCAAUCACAGACAAAUCAAAUAAAGCAUUCACCACCCAUUCAAAGUAUAGGAGAUAGAAAUCCAAAUCACUAGUGGCGCUAUAGAGAAAGUACCGUAAGGGAAAGAUGAAAGAUAUCCUAAAAGUAAAAAAAAGCAAAGCUUACCCCUUGUACCUUUUGCAUAAUGAAUUAACUAGUAGUAACUUAGCAAAGAGACCUUUAGUUAAACUACCCGAAACCAGACGAGCUACUUACGAACAGUACCUAGAACGAACUCAUCUAUGUGGCAAAAUAGUGAGAAGAUUUGUAAGUAGAGGUGAAAAGCCUAACGAGCCUGGUGAUAGCUGGUUGUCCAAGAAAAGAAUCUCAGUUCAACAUUAAACAGUACCAAGAACCCCCUGAAGUUCCAAUGUAUGUUUAACUGUUAGUCUAAAAAGGUACAGCUUUUUAGAAAUGGGUACAACCUUAACUAGAGAGUAAAACAGACACACACAUGCCAUAGUUGGCUUAAAAGCAGCCAUCAAUUAAGAAAGCGUUCAAGCUCAACAAUAAAACUGUGUUAUAAUCCCAACAAUAACAAAUCAACUCCUAGUAUAAUUAUUGGACUAAUCUAUAUAAUUAUAGAAGCAAUACUGUUAACAUGAGUAACAAGAAAACUUUUUCUCCUCGCACAAGCUUACAUCAGUAACUGAUACUACACUGAUAGUUAACAGCCAAUAAAUAAAACCCAACGCCAAGCCAUUUAUUAAGCCCACUGUUAACCCAACACAGGCGUGCACCAAGGAAAGAUUAAAAAAAGUAAAAGGAACUCGGCAAACACAAACCUCGCCUGUUUACCAAAAACAUCACCUCUAGCAUAACCAGUAUUAGAGGCACUGCCUGCCCAGUGACUGAUAGUUAAACGGCCGCGGUAUCCUGACCGUGCAAAGGUAGCAUAAUCACUUGUUCUCUAAAUAAGGACUUGUAUGAACGGCCACACGAAGGUUUUACUGUCUCUUACUUUUAAUCAGUGAAAUUGACCUUCCCGUGAAGAGGCGGGAAUAACAAAACAAGACGAGAAGACCCUAUGGAGCUUCAAUUAAUCAACCCAAUAACCCACAACCUCAAACCACCAAGGGAUAAAAAAAACUUAUAUGGGUUGACAAUUUCGGUUGGGGUGACCUCGGAGCACAAAAACCCCUCCGAGUGAUUAAAGCCUAGGCCUACCAGCCAAAGCAUAACAUCACUUAUUGAUCCAAAGCUUUGAUCAACGGAACAAGUUACCCUAGGGAUAACAGCGCAAUCCUAUUCUAGAGUCCAUAUCGACAAUAGGGUUUACGACCUCGAUGUUGGAUCAGGACAUCCUAAUGGUGCAGCCGCUAUUAAGGGUUCGUUUGUUCAACGAUUAAAGUCCUACGUGAUCUGAGUUCAGACCGGAGCAAUCCAGGUCGGUUUCUAUCUGUUGCGCAUUUCUCCCAGUACGAAAGGACAAGAGAAAUAAGGCCAACUUUACACACGCGCCUUCAAAUAACUAAUGAUCUAAUCUUAAUUAAACAAACAAGCGCAAACUAACCCUGCCCAAGACCAGGGCAUU